rnacentral:rRNA from 1 species
AGAGUUUGAUCCUGGCUCAGAACGAACGCUGGCGGCAGGCUUAACACAUGCAAGUCGAACGCCCCGCAAGGGGAGUGGCAGACGGGUGAGUAACGCGUGGGAACAUACCCUUUCCUGCGGAAUAGCUCCGGGAAACUGGAGUUAAUACCGCAUACGCCCUACGGGGGAAAGAUUUAUCGGGGAAGGAUUGGCCCGCGUUGGAUUAGCUAGUUGGUGGGGUAAAGGCCUACCAAGGCGACGAUCCAUAGCUGGUCUGAGAGGAUGAUCAGCCACAUUGGGACUGAGACACGGCCCAAACUCCUACGGGAGGCAGCAGUGGGGAAUAUUGGACAAUGGGCGCAAGCCUGAUCCAGCCAUGCCGCGUGAGUGAUGAAGGCCUUAGGGUUGUAAAGCUCUUUCACCGGAGAAGAUAAUGACGGUAUCCGGAGAAGAAGCCCCGGCUAACUUCGUGCCAGCAGCCGCGGUAAUACGAAGGGGGCUAGCGUUGUUCGGAAUUACUGGGCGUAAAGCGCACGUAGGCGGAUAUUUAAGUCAGGGGUGAAAUCCCAGAGCUCAACUCUGGAACUGCCUUUGAUACUGGGUAUCUUGAGUAUGGAAGAGGUAAGUGGAAUUCCGAGUGUAGAGGUGAAAUUCGUAGAUAUUCGGAGGAACACCAGUGGCGAAGGCGGCUUACUGGCCCAUUACUGACGCUGAGGUGCGA